GACGAACGCUGGCGGCGUGCUUAACACAUGCAAGUCGAACGAUGAAGCCGGAGCUUGCUCUGGUGAAUUAGUGGCGAACGGGUGAGUAACACGUGAGUAACCUGCCCUUGAAUCUGGGAUAACUGCGGGAAACUGUAGCUAAUACCGGAUACGACCCUCGGAGGCAUCUCCCGGGGGUGGAAAGAAUUUCGGUCAAGGGUGGACUGGCGGCCUAUCAGCUAGUUGGUGAGGUAAAGGCCCACCAAGGCGACGAUCAGGAGCUGGUCUGAGAGGACGUGCAGCCACACUGGGACUGAGACACGGCCCAGACUCCUACGGGAGGCAGCAGUGGGGAAUUUUAGACAAUGGGGGCAACCCUGAUCCAGCAAUGCCGCGUGAGUGAAGAAGGCCUUCGGGUUGUAAAGCUCUUUUGUCAGGGAAGAAACACCGGCUCUAACACAGUCCGGGAAUGACGGUACCUGAAGAAUAAGCACCGGCUAAC
rnacentral:rRNA from 1 species